UGAAAAUUACGUUCCAGAAUUGAACAGAAGAGUUAUUGCUGGGGUGCCUUCGAAUGGACUUCUUUUUCGUGAAAUAGCCAACCAAUGAUGCUAGCCUCACAUAAAACCAAAUUCCUCAAAUAUUUAUGGAUAAAGGUGUGCUCUCAGCUGCUGCUCCAGCACCAUCUCUGCCUACCUGCUGCUCCUCAGCCACCAUGAUAAAGGACUAUCCCUCUGAUACUGCUUUAUAUUUUUGGGUGGAAUUUAGAAGACCCCAUUUCAAUGUCUCAGAGAAAAUGUACAAAGCAAAAGCUGAUGGGGCUAAAUCCUUGAAUUGGCAAGCAGAGUUAAAAUAAACUAACCACUUCAGGAAACAGCUUUUUGGUAAGUUUGCCAAUUUUCUAUACUUUUGUGUCUGU